AUUGAACGCUGGCGGCAGGCUUAACACAUGCAAGUCGAGCGGAGCGAGGGUGCUUGCACCUUAGCUUAGCGGCGGACGGGUGAGUAAUGCUUAGGAAUCUGCCUAUUAGUGGGGGACAACAUUCCGAAAGGAAUGCUAAUACCGCAUACGCCCUACGGGGGAAAGCAGGGGAUCUUCGGACCUUGCGCUAAUAGAUGAGCCUAAGUCGGAUUAGCUAGUUGGUGGGGUAAAGACCUACCAAGGCGACGAUCUGUAGCGGGUCUGAGAGGAUGAGCCGCCACACUGAGACUGAGGCACGGCCCAGACUCCUACGGGAGGCAGCAGUGGGGAAUAUUGGACAAUGGGCGGAAGCCUGAUCCAGCCAUGCCGCGUGUGUGAAGAAGGCCUUUUGGUUGUAAAGCACUUUAAGCGAGGAGGAGGCUACUUAGAUUAAUACUCUGGGAUAGUGGACGUUACUCGCAGAAUAAGCACCGGCUAACUCUGUGCCAGCCGCCGCGGUAACAC
rnacentral:rRNA from 1 species